GAUGAACGCUGGCGGCGUGCCUAAUACAUGCAAGUCGAGCGAACGGACGAGAAGCUUGCUUCUCUGAUGUUAACGGCGGACGGGUGAGUAACACGUGGAUAACCUACCUAUAAGACUGGGAUAACUUCGGGAAACCGGAGCUAAUACCGGAUAAUAUUUUGAACCGCAUGGUUCAAAAGUAAAAGACGGUCUUGCUGUCACUUAUAGAUGGAUCCGCGCUGCAUUAGCUAGUUGGUAAGGUAACGGCUUACCAAGGCAACGAUGCAUAGCCGAACUGAGAGGCUGAUCGGCCACACUGGAACUGAGACACGGUCCAGACUCCUACGGGAGGCAGCAGUAGGGAAUCUUCCGCAAUGGGCGAAAGCCUGACGGAGCAACGCCGCGUGUGUGAUGAAGGUCUUCGGAUCGUAAAACUCUGUUAUUAGGGAAGAACAUAUGUGUAAGUAACUGUGCACAUCUUGACGGUACCUAAUCAGAAAGCCACGGCUAACUACGUG
rnacentral:rRNA from 1 species